rnacentral:misc_RNA from 1 species
CAGAGUUGCAAAACUCCCAACCAUUGUGAAUCUACCUCACCGUUGCCUCGGCGGGUGGCCCUUCCCCCUCACCCGGGGUUGGACCGCGCCGGCACCCGGCUCCCGGGCGCCGGCAAUCCCGUCAGAGGACCCGCAACUCUUCUCAUCAUUGUAGCCUCUCUGAGUAACUUAUACAUAAGUCA